AACGAACGCUGGCGGCAUGCCUAACACAUGCAAGUCGAACGAGACCUUCGGGUCUAGUGGCGCACGGGUGCGUAACGCGUGGGAACCUGCCCUUAGGUUCGGAAUAACUCCCCGAAAGGGGUGCUAAUACCGGAUAAUGUCUUCGGACCAAAGAUUUAUCGCCUUUGGAUGGGCCCGCGUUGGAUUAGCUAGUUGGUAGGGUAAAAGCCUACCAAGGCGACGAUCCAUAGCUGGUCUGAGAGGAUGAUCAGCCACACUGGGACUGAGACACGGCCCAGACUCCUACGGGAGGCAGCAGGGGGGAAUAAUGGACAAUGGGCGAAAGCCUGAUCAAGCAAUGCCGCGUGAGGGAUGAAGGCCUUAGGGUUGUAAAGCUCUUUUACCCGGGAUGAUAAUGAGAGUACCGGGAGAAUAAGCUCCGGCUAACUCCGGGC
rnacentral:rRNA from 1 species